AUUGAACGCUGGCGGCAGGCCCAACACAUGCAAGUCGAGCGGAUGAAGGGAGCUUGCUCCUGGAUUCAGCGGCGGACGGGUGAGUAAUGCCUAGGAAUCUGCCUGGUAGUGGGGGAUAACGUCCGGAAACGGGCGCUAAUACCGCAUACGUCCUGAGGGAGAAAGUGGGGGAUCUUCGGACCUCACGCUAUCAGAUGAGCCUAGGUCGGAUUAGCUAGUUGGUGGGGUAAAGGCCUACCAAGGCGACGAUCCGUAACUGGUCUGAGAGGAUGAUCAGUCACACUGGAACUGAGACACGGUCCAGACUCCUACGGGAGGCAGCAGUGGGGAAUAUUGGACAAUGGGCGAAAGCCUGAUCCAGCCAUGCCGCGUGUGUGAGGAAGGUCUUCGGAUUGUAAAGCACUUUAAGUUGGGAGGAAGGGCAGUAAGUUAAUACCUUGCUGUUUUGACGUUACCAACAGAAUAAGCACCGGCUAACUUCGUG
rnacentral:rRNA from 1 species